rnacentral:rRNA from 1 species
ACGAACGCUGGCGGCGUGCUUAACACAUGCCAGUCGAACGGAAAGGCCCUGCUUUUGUGGGGUGCUCGAGUGGCGAACGGGUGAGUAACACGUGAGUAACCUGCCCUUGACUUUGGGAUAACUUCAGGAAACUGGGGCUAAUACCGGAUAGGAGCUCCUGCCGCAUGGUGGGGGGUGGAAAGUUUCGGCGGUUGGGGAUGGACUCGCGGCUUAUCAGCUUGUUGGUGGGGUAGUGGCUUACCAAGGCUUUGACGGGUAGCCGGCCUGAGAGGGUGACCGGCCACAUUGGGACUGAGAUACGGCCCAGACUCCUACGGGAGGCAGCAGUGGGGAAUAUUGCACAAUGGGCGGAAGCCUGAUGCAGCAACGCCGCGUGCGGGAUGACGGCCUUCGGGUUGUAAACCGCUUUCGCCUGUGACGAAGCGUGAGUGACGGUAAUGGGUAAAGAAGCACCGGCUAACUACGUG